AUUCAGCCUCAGCAAAAGUGAGGCACUAACAACUCAGUGAGACCCUGUCUCUAAAUAAAAUACAAAAUAGGGCUGAAGAUGUGACUCAGUGGUCAGGUGCCCCUGAAUUCAAUCCCUGGUAACCUCCCCCCAAAAACCCCCAAAAUUGAGUGAUGUAGAAAGGUUAGUUUUUGCUCUAUGUUUUAAGUGUAUUUAUAAGGUCUGAAAAUUUUCUCCAAGGACUAAUAAAUGAAAUUAAUUAAUUAUUUUAAAGCAGUUUAUUUUAAAAAGUGGUUUAUGCUGGGUGCAGUGGUGCAUAUCUAUAAUCCCAGCAAUUUGGGAUGCUGAGACAGGAAGAUUACAAGUUUGAGGCCAGCCUCAGCAAAUUAUCAAAGCCCUCAGCAAGUUAGUGAGACCCUGUCUCAAAAUGAAAUAAAAUAAAAAAGUAAAUAUACUGGGGAUGUAACUCAAUGGUGAAGUGCCCCUGGGUUAAAUCCCCAGUAUCAAAACAACAACAACAACAACAACACCUCCCCCUGGAUUUAUUUAUUAAUUCAACAUUACUUGAACAUCCUGUUAGGUAUGGGACCAAGCUAGCCUCUCUGGAUGUAGCAGUAACUAAAUUAAACUUGGUCGGAACUUCCCCUUGAUUACUGGUGAGCAACAAAUUUACCUUUCUUAAAUAAAACCGGAAAUUUUCAUUUAAAGUACAUGUAAACCCCUAUAGAAGAAAGCAUUUCUCCCCCUGUUACUGGGAACGAUCUUAGUGCCUUGCAUCAGUGCUCUUAGUAGUGAGCUACUAUCCCCACCCACCUAGGAAAACAUUUCUUUUUUUUUGGUACUGG
rnacentral:lncRNA from 1 species